UACAGAGGGUGCAAACGUUGUUCGGAUUUACUGGGCGUAAAGCGCGUGUAGGCGGCUUGGCAAGUCGGAUGUGAAAGCCCACGGCGUCAACCGUGGAAGCGCAUCCGAAAACGGCCUCGCUCGAGUCUCGGAGGAGGAAGGUGGAAUGCUUGGUGUAGAGGUAGAAAUUCGUAGAUAUCAAGCAGAACACCUGCGGCGAAGGCGGCCUUCUGGACGAUGACUGACGCUGAGACGCGAAAGCGUGGGGAGCAAACAGG
rnacentral:rRNA from 1 species